UCGCUGAAAAGAGGGAGCUCGUAGGCGGGCUGAGAGGAAGUAACCGAACUUCGACCUUUAUAACCUGAUUUGGGUAAUGCCAACGUAGGGAUCAUAGAUGUGACAUUU
rnacentral:ncRNA from 2 species